rnacentral:pre_miRNA from 1 species
AGUCGUCUGUAUCCGUGCUGAGAUUUCGUCAGAGAUCAACCCGUUGGGGUUGAUGGAAUUUCCCAGAUCAGUGAAGCU